UGGGAGUAGACUUCUAUGAGAUGAUUUUCUAGUAUGUUUAAUCAAGUAAGGAAGGAUGCCUUAAACAAUGUUAGAGACAAAGAGGAUAUUCUUGAGGCCAAAGGUCAUGGACUUGUUUGGAUCACAUCAGAUGUUUAGAAUAGGUUGGUUGAUAUAUGUAAUUCUCCAAAGUAGAAGGAUAAAUCUAAAAUUACAUGUAAGAAUUAGAUGAUAGAGAAAGAUGGUGGAAUCACCAAAUACAUGGAUAGUUCCAUCACAUUUUCUAUGCAUAAAAAAAGAAUGAUGAGUUAAAAUAUACUUUCUUUACUUUAGAACAUUUAUUAUUUAGUUAUUUAUUUAUUUAUAUGCAUUUUCUCAAAAUUUUAUUAUUUUUUCUUUGUAGAUUAUUGAGUUGGGUAGGCCACCAAUGCAACUUGAGGCAUUUGACUAGACCCACAAAUAAAUGAAAAGUUUGGAUGAAUUUAUGGACAACAAAUCCAAAAGAGUUUCGAUAAGUUUACUUAUUCUACUUAAUAAUAAAUUUAUUAUUUAUCUAUAUAUUGCAAGGACUAUUAAAUUAAUGUAUUUCUAAUAGUUUUUAGGAAAAAUAUUUUGCUACUCUCAUCGCUAACGAUGGCUUAAAUAUCUCAUCCAAAUCCGAGGU
rnacentral:lncRNA from 1 species